UACGAAGGGUGCAAGCGUUAAUCGGAAUUACUGGGCGUAAAGAGCUCGUAGGUGGUUUGUCACGUCGUCUGUGAAAUUCCGGGGCUUAACCUCGGGCGUGCAGGCGAUACGGGCAAUACUUGAGUGCUGUAGGGGAGACUGGAAUUCCUGGUGUAGCGGUGAAAUGCGUAGAUAUUAGGAGGAACACCAGUAGCGAAGGCGGCUCUCUGGACUGUAACUGACGCUGAGGCACGAAAGCGUGGGGAGCAAACAGGAUUAGAUACCCGGGUAGU
rnacentral:rRNA from 1 species